ensembl:snRNA U6 U6 spliceosomal RNA
GUCCAUGCCUCAGUGCACAUAUACUAAAAUUGGAAUGAUACGAAGAUUUGCACAACCCCUGUGCAAGGAUCACACGCAAAUUUGUGAAGUGAUCCACAUUAAG